rnacentral:lncRNA from 1 species
AAACAAACCACCACAAGGCUGGAGAAAAUGGGAAUGCUUAGACACCAGAUGGCAAAUGUUCCAAACAGGAUGUUCAGCUGUGUUUUCUUUUCAUCAAAUUUCUUAUCUCAUGACGUGGGUUCAUCGGAAGAAAAUAAUUUCCAUCUUAAACUCAUCUCUUUCCAAGGCCUUUGCUAUUUAAGACUCAUAUGCCAGCAAUGGAACACCUACACUUUUCUACCAAAAAAAGAAAAGGUAUGUUCCAGUUUGUACACAAUAUAUUCCCUUAUAUACAUUCAUGUUCAGUCCAAGCCACUACUCCUAAUUUACAAAUUUUGUAAUGUUGAAGAUUUCUUUUUAUGGAACACAAAAAGGUCGUUUUAUUUUCAGACCUGUUCAGUAACCUGA